GCUUUCUUGGUCUAGUCGGUUAUGACGUCGGUCUCAUAUAACCACAUGAUUGCGUUUAACGCAAGCUAUCCGAAGGUCGCCAGUUCGAUUCUGGCAGAGUAAGUU